rnacentral:rRNA from 1 species
CAGUCGCCGCGGGAAUACGAAGGGGGCUAGCGUUGCUCGGAAUGACUGGGCGUAAAGGGCGCGUAGGCGGCGAUCAAAGUCAGGCGUGAAAUUCCUGGGCUCAACCUGGGGGCUGCGUUUGAUACUUGGUUGCUAGAGUGAGGAAGAGGGUCGUGGAAUUCCCAGUGUAGAGGUGAAAUGCGUAGAUAUGUGGAGGAAUACCGAUGGCGAAGGCAGCCCCCUGGGAUAACACUGACGCUCAUGCACGAAAGCGUGGGGAGCAAACAGGAUUAGAUACCCGCGUAGUCCCUGUCUCUUAUAC